UACUUUAUGCUGCGCCUUCUGAGGUGACUGGCUGGCUGUUUAUGGCCUAGCUGCUAUCAGACGGUACCUGUUCCUGGGGGUCGAGCUAUUUACACUUUCCAGCAGGGUGAAUGUUAAAAGCAAAUAUUUAAAACAGGCUCUUGGCCACAUAGGGAACAAUCUGAUGAUUGGGCUGAUACCUCUGAAGACGGGGAGAGCUGCUGACUCACAGGUGAGCUGAGUAUUUUAAUCUCUUACCUGAGACAAGGUGCUGGAAGCUGACUCAUGAGUUUGCUCUUCUUUGGGCAGUGGGAAUGAUCCUGACCCCGCCGGAAGCAGCGUGGCUUCGGCUCCCAGAGCAGAGCUGUUGCAUUCAGAGGUGUCUCAUCAAGCCAUGGCCAUCACUGGACAUUCUUUUAUACCACGCCGCGUAGCAUCAAACUGUCCCAUGGGAAAUCUGAAGAAUGAGGGUUUAUUGAAGCUGCACUUUAGGACCAACUCAGCUGUAGGUUUCCUUCCUCUUUAGAUAACCCGAUUGCCUGUGGAAGGAGCCAAGGAAUGAGUUGGAUGGUCAGCGUCCAGAUGUUCAGGGGAUUGAAAAAGCUUUAAGGCCGUGAUCCACCAAAGCACUUAAGCACAUGCGUAAUCCCAUUGAUAUUGGCUUCAGUGAGAUGACUCCCGUGCUUAAAGUUAAGUAUGUGCUUUGCUGGAUCAGGGCCGGAGUAGUUUAUACUUCCGGAUGGAUUCAUUUGUCAUUUCGCUCCUCUUGCCUCUCCGGCAAUGCUUGUUUCUCUGCGUCUGUUGUCUGCUUCCCUCGCAGGCUGUCUUCUGCAAUCCACAGGCUGGCGUGGGCCGCCUCCCAGCAGCUCACACGUGGCUGCACUGCCAUUUGAUGCACCGAGCUGUUCCCAAGCUCAGGGGCUGGGGAAGAAUCCAGUUCAAACUGCUUUAAAGCGAGGCAGCCUGAUGGCCCAGUGGGAGUCAUGGCCAUGAGAUUUGCCAAGAAGCUCAUGCAAACCAGUUUCAGCCUGUGGCACGUUCCCAAGCUGGUCACUUCAACAGUUCGCUCUUCAGAUCAGCCACACUGGUGCAAGAUGGUGCUGGUAGCUGCCUGCAUUUUAAGCUCCAGGUCACGCAGACCUGCUCUGUUUUCUGCUAGCAGCUCAGGUGCCAGUCUGAUUUAGGAGAGGGAUGAAGCAAGUUUCGCUCAUCUCAGUCUCAUCCGCUGCACCAAAACCAGCUACGACACAGGCUCAGCAGCAGGCCUGGCUCAAGCUUUGCCACGCCACCUUCCUUCAAGAAAUCCCGAGAAGAAAGCAGCAGCAAAGAGACGGUUUAAGGGCCUCAUCCUGAGCAUCAAGUCCCUGCACUGGGUGGCUUUGGACACCAAUGGGAGCUGCUAGUGCUCAGCGCCACUCGGGAUCAGCCCCUGAGCCUGUGACUGUGAGAUAUCCUAUCUGGGCUCAACCAGAACGCUGAAUCCAACCCAACCCAGUGUCAGAGACAUUUGGAUUCCGGCUCCAGUCUUCAUGACUCACAUCAGACCAUUGUGAGCCGUCUCCUUCCUGACUGUGCUGUGACAGAAAACAGCUGCUCCACUGGAAAGAAGCACCUCCAGAAUGCGGGCAAGGAGAAAGAACGCAUAAUGAAAUGGGAUUCGUAAAUGGACCUCUUCCCCCCACCCUUCGCCUCCCACCGCAUGGAAAAAUUCCACCACCAGGGCUAAAGCAUUAUUUAUCGCGGUGCCUCCAGGUGACAGCGCACGCUGCCUGUGUUUGCAGGGAGUGCCACCAUUAGUAACUUUUAAGGAUUGUAAUCAUCCGCCGGGAAGGAACGUUGCAGCCAGAAAGCGGAACAGCCAAGUCGAAGCCAGCUACGAAACAAUGUCGCCUGUGCCCUUCGCUGUUGCUUUGUGAUAUAUGCCGAUGGGUUUGUGAACUCUUAAAGCGAUGAGCUAUUGCAUUGGGGUCUCACGCCCCUCUCUCGUCGGUGCAAGCCCCUGCCAUGCUCAAGGGAAGGCCUGGCUAGUAGCCUGCCUACCGGAACCCUUCCUCCAGUUUACCGAUUCAGAGAUUCCAAGGCCAAAGGGGACCGCUAUUGAAGGAGGCCGUGUGGCAUAGUAGACUGAGCACUGGACUGGGACAAGCUCUGUCGCUGGCCUGCUGGGUGACCGUGAGCAAGUCACAGCACUGCUCUGCGCCUCAGUUUCCCCAGCUGUGAAAUGGCGAUGAGGCUGUGCAGUGCUUGGGGAUCUGUGGGUGAAAAGUGCUACGCCAGCGCUCGCUGGUGUUUUAAAGGUAAAAGCAGGCCUUUUAGCGGAGGCACGUGGGUGGGAGUUUAUCUCAAGAAUCAGACAGUCCUCAGAUAAUUAAACCCACCUGUUAAACCAGAUACUGAAUCUACUAGAGCUGCUUUCCCUUCAGAUGCAAUCUUCAGUGCCUGACAUGACACACACACACGGACCGGAUUGUAUACAAUGACAAUUAGGAAAGGGCUGGUGUUGUGAUAUCUGGCUGGGCCCAACACCUUCAGGGACUGCCAAAAUACCCACAGGGAAGACAAGACCCUUGUCUUCAGCUGUCCUGUACCCCAAAAUAACCCUAUCCCAAGUAGAGCUGAACCCUGAAAAGGGAGCAGUGACAGAGCCUCAGGAAGCCAUUAAGGACUUUGCUGUUGAUUUUAUUUGAAAGGUGCCCAGAUGCCACUGUGAUGGGCAGCAGAAUAAAAUC